UACGUAGGGGGCAAGCGUUGUCCGGAAUCAUUGGGCGUAAAGCGCGUGUAGGCGGCUCGGUAAGUCUGCUCUGAAAGCCCGGGGCUCAACCCUGGGAGGCGGGUGGAUACUGCUGAGCUCGAGUCCGGAAGAGGCGAGUGGAAUUCCUGGUGUAGCGGUGAAAUGCGUAGAUAUCGGGAGGAACACCUGUGGCGAAAGCGGCUCACUGGACCGCAACUGACGCUGAGGCGCGAAAGCUAGGGGAGCAAACAGG
rnacentral:rRNA from 1 species